UCCCCCCCCUCCCCAUCGUGGCACAGGGAUCCCGGAUGCAGUUCGGCUCCUAACUUCUAGUGAUGUCAGUGGGAGUUGGGAAUCUUUGCGGAGCUGGGCCUGGGUGACGCUCCGCGGAUGACUUUACUCCCAGGAGGAGGAGGGUGAUCACGGUCAGGGAGUAAUAAAUAAAGAGCAGGCGGAGGGGCCCCGCUCCCGCAGUCGAGCAGAGCGGCCGCUUACCAGCUGCUGGAAGGCAGGUUGGUCCAGGUCACUCUGCAAUGCGAAUUCACUGAGCGCUUUCCAAGGGGGCUGAUAUAGAAUUGGUCCCUGGGAGCUGAUUUAUCCCAUGACAGGGAGCGUGGGGCAGAGGGGAUGUGCUGUCACGCCCUCACACAGACAUUUUCUUCACCAGCGCUUGUUCUGGAACCAGACCCGGAUCACUCUGGGGCUCAGGCCGGUCAUCUCCACCAGCUGCUCCUUCAUCAGCGCGUCCGGCCGCGGGUUGGCAGCGUAGCAGGUCCGCAGCGUGUGCAGUUGCUUCUCGUUCAGCACCGUCCGGACGCGGGUGGUCUUCUCUGCCUGCUUGUGCACGUGGGGCCGGAGAGAGGGCUGGCGGCCGGGCACCGAGUCUGCAGCGGGGCGAGGGGGAACCGACCAACUCCAGUUAGCGCUGGGGUCUGAGCCGCGUCCCGGGGCGCCCCCAGCCAGGCCGACCCCAGCCCCAGCCAGGCCGCGAAGGCAGCGUGGGGGUGAUCUCUGGCCCGGCCUGUGUUCAUGGCGCACCCUCCCCUGCUGCAGUGAAGCCUCCCCCCCCCGCAGGGUAAACUCCGGGGGUCCCCGGGGAGGGGGGGUCCCUGCUAGGUGUUCCCCUAGAGCGAGGGGUGGCAGCUAAGCCCCUGCACUAAAUGUGGCCUGGGAGAUCAGCUUGCAGGGCUCAGGCCCAGCGCCCCUGAGCUGGUGCGGCCUGCGACUCCUCAGAGAUAAAAGGUCAUUCCCACCCGCACCCCAAAGCCGGAGCUGCACCCCCUUCCAGCACAGCCAGGCAGGGAGUUGUACUAGCCACUCUGCGGCGGGGAAAGCGGUUCCUGCUUCCCCAGCCGGGCACGCAACAGGGAGAAUCGAAUCGCACCCACUACAAGGCGGGGAUCCCAGAGCUCAGCCCAGCAACCAAGAAGGAGGCAGUGUGUGUGUGUCGGUACUUUACAGCCCACCGGGCCCUGUGGGAAGCUGCUGCCGCCACCCCAGAGACUGGCUCUGGCCGCUGGGGUUCUUGAAAACAGGGCGAACAAAUACAAGUCAGGCAGGAGGAAAAUCACCCGGAGACUCACUAAACCGGGGCCCCGAGCCAGAGCUGCCCCUGCACACAGCAGCUAGACUUGGCCCAGGCACCGCGCCGCUUCCCGACUGGGGAAAUCGGGGAAGAAAGUGACUCUUUAGAGCAGGACAUUUAAUGGGGAAAGCCCGGGCUGGGGUUACAGGCUAGAUAAAUAAAACACCGCCCCCCAAGAUUAAUUAUUCCAGAACGGGCAUUUUGCCCCUGAGUGAGAUUUGACCAUUAGAUUUUAUAUCAAGUGCAAAUUACCCAGGGAUCGAAUCAGGGCCGGCCCCGCUCACCAGCCACCCAAAGGGGCCCAUUGCAGAGCGCAGGGGCCGGAGAACGGAGUUAAAACCCGUUCAAUCAAACAGCCCACGAGAGCCUGCGGGGAACGGCCCUGCCGGUGCACCGUAGCCGGGGAGGAGAAGCAGGAGCAGGAGCAGGAGCAGGAGCCGGAUAAUCAGGGAAAGAGCGUGCUGAAGUGCUAACUAGCUGGCAAUUGUGACCCUGUCCAUUAAUCUCCGCGCUUCUUCCAUGCCCUGGGAACGGUAGGCUCUGCACCGCUUUCCGCAUGCGGGGGAGGUACUCGGGAGUAAAAACCCUUAGCCGGGAUUUCUAAUCGAAAACAGUGCAAAGGGGAGCACGUCUCACGCGGCGGACGGGAAGGAGUCAAUAUAAGAGCUUCAUUAUUAAUCAAUAACCCGGGCGGUAUAAAAUCAUCCCCAAAAGGGGAAACCCCGGCUUGCCGCGAUCUUUUAACUAGUUAUCUAUAAUGAGUCAAUAAUUAUAAUUCAAAAACAUCGUCAGCAGAGAGUAUCCCCCAAAAGGACCAGGAUCGAAUCUGUAUCGAGACACAGCGGCAUUACCGCCCUAAAAUCUCGAUGUGCACAGAUCCUAAGCAGCCAGCACAAAUACACCUACAAAGAGACAAUCGGAACCAGGUCUUCCACCCUUUCUCCAUCGGAUCUCUGCUUCUUGCAGGCAGGGUUUGUUUUGUUUUUACCAUUCAUUCUCUUUUGAUCAGAGGAAUAAUCUCGCUCCAGUUCGCUUCUGACUCAGUGUUGGGGUUAGGAGAGGUGGUUUGUUUUUGUUUUUAAUUUUUGCAGCUCGAUAUUUUAAAAACCCACAUGGUUUUGUUUCCGAUGAGUGAAACCUCACCCUUCUUGAAACAAACGAGCCGCGCUAAUACAUGGCUUAGGCCAGCGGACGAGCGGAGUGCAGUCGCAGGGUUAUUAUUCCCGUAGGAAAGGAGGGUAGCCUAUGAAAGCACAGAUUGUGCACGGAAAUAUCCCCCCAUCCUAGCUGAUUUUCUUCUCCCAAAUAAUAGAAAGCUGCCCCGGAGUGUGCAGUGACUGGCUGGAGAUAACUGGGGAAGCAGCCCUGGCUCUCUCUCUCGAUACUCACACCUUUCGAUCUCUAGUCCCGUUCACACUGAACGCGCCAGGACCACUGCCCGGGGCUGUCCCGCAGUUAGCGAGCGUUUCGCAGCCUGUUGCCGGGGCAGUUCAGGGCGCCUUGGAUGAAUCCCCGUUUAUUCCAAAACCUCCUAAACGCAGCCGUUGUUUGGACUCGUCUUCCCGCUCCUGUUUGCUCCCGUACACAUUAUGGGACUGGCUCUGGAGCUGGAGUUUCGGACCAAACGCUGCAGAUCCAUCUGUCGAGCUAGUCUCCUGGGCCAGAGCCCGUCACCUUGUAUCUGAGCACCGCUGCCCUGGGGUUGGGCGCGAGCAGGGUUUGGACUUAGCGGAUGAAGGCCGGUUAUCGGAAUGGCACUGGCCCUCACCCCAAGGGGACAGCCAGCUCUCUAGCCUCCUGUCUUGGCUGUGGUUGAAAUUCCCUCCCGUGCCUCCUGGAGCACUGCAGGCAGAUGGAGAUUAACCUCCCCCCAGCGUGCUAUUGCUCCUACCGCCCAGUCCGCGGGCCUCCAGCAAGGGGGGUUCUCUCCUCUUGUCCCUUGGCAUCACUGCAGUGUCUAGAACAGGGUGUGUAGCCGCUUCCCGGCUCUGCCACGUCCCUCUCGCUUUUCCCACGAAUCCGCUGCUGCUCUCUUGGGCAACCAGGGCUGCCACAGUCCCUCUCCCCUGCCCUAGUAGCUGGCCUCAUUGAGUCCCACUUCCAUCCCUCCCCAGGUGCGCUGUUUUUGUUUUUGUUUUGGCUGCAGCUACAUGUAGCUCAGUAUUCAGCCGCCAGGACUGUAUAAUGCUGCCCAGCCCUGUAACUACUUCGAUUCCCUUCUCAGCCGCCUCCAGCCACCCCCGCUCUGCCCCUCGCCCAGUCUGCCUCUCCCUCUCCUCUUCUGGGUGUGUACAGAACCUCACAUUUCCUUGGCAAGUGGCCUGUAACGUCCAGUCCCUCCCACUCCCCAGACGCAGAAGAAAGAGGCCUACAUGAAGGAGAUGGGGGGGAGGGGAGAGGUUCCCAGUGUGGGGCCAGGUGGGAAACGCUUCAAGACUGCAGAGUCUCUGGCCAAACUCUCUAGGCCUCCAUAACUCAGCACAUCGUGGUGGAGAUAACAGAUGUAUUUUCUGUAGCCAUAUAAGAGGGACAACUAAAGAUAUAAAUGUCCCUGCGGCGUUAAUAGGCAGAGACCGAGUUAGAAAAUUAUUCAUACAUCUAUUAAUUAUCCAUUCACAGACACACAGCUAGAGCAGUUUGUACAGUGCAUGGCAUUUCCCCCCAGGGAAAACAAUACAUGGCGUGUAUGUGCCUAGAUCCUGGAUUUACUGAGCUAGCUGAUGAUCUCACACCCCCAGGUGGGCCCCAGCGCCCGGCAGAUCUGUUGCUCCUUUACCUGAUAGAUGCAGGCCUCUGGUGCUCUGUAAAUGGCCGGGGCUCCUGGGGCUAUCCGCCGAGCUCCUAUCCAGCAGCAGGCUGUGGUCGGCCCGGCACAGCAGCUCGUGGUCCCGUAGAGAGAACUCAUCCCCGGGCAGGAGCUGGCGGCUGCAGACGGAGCAGCGGAAACAUUCAAUGUGAUACACGUUCUCCCGGGCUCUCAUCACCAGAUCACUGCUGCUGAAUCCCACCUUGCACUUCGCACACUUUAUGCCGAAUAAUCUGCCGAGAGAGAAAGGGCCAUGAAGCCACUACACACUCACCCCACUGGUCCCAGCUCACCCUCCCCAGUAACUAAUUACCCCGGCGGAGAAACCCAGAGGGUCCCCUCUGCUCUCUUCCUAACAAAUCUGACCCACUCAUUCAAUUCGAGAAGGGGGCUCUGGUUCAACAGGAAAAUUUCCCCUUACCCACAUUCCUCUGUAACAGGCAUUAGGGAAUGUGCUGCUCAAUACUGCCUCUUGCUCGCCGACAUGCUGGUUAUUAUUAAUAUUCUUGUUUGGUUGUAUCAAUCGUUAAUAACUUCCUGUCUCCAAAGCCGAAUAAACAGGAACAUAAUUUGUCCUGAUCACAAAAGUAUUGGCUCCCUCCUUUAGCAAGCAGGAGGAGGUGCGAUUUCACUGAUGGGGAGCUCUUAAAAUUAGCUCUUAAGAAAUGGGCCGGAGGAAAGUUGUUGUUUUUUAAAUGGAUAAAGAGCUUUUUGAAUCACCUGAUAUAAUCCCUUUUACAGUAUGUCUUGCCAUCUCUCACAAAACAAGUGCAGGUUUCAUCCAAGUACUGGCUGCAUUCAGCGCAUUUGAGACAUGCUGCAUGCCACUCGAGGUCCGGGGAGACCUUCAGGAUGUACUGGUCAUGGAUCUGACUCCCACAGCCCACACACAUGGCAAUUCCGGGCUUUUCUACCAGUGGAAAUGAGCAGAGGAAAUUUAGAACGUAUACUGGAAGCAUAUCAUUUCUAAUCAGAACUGUCUCAAAGGACUGCAAUCACAGAGGCAUUCGUAAUUAGGAGACAUUCUCUAGUAAUGUUCAGGCAAUGGAAAGAAAGAAAGAAAGAAAGAAAGAAAGAAAGAAAGAAAGAAAGAAAGAAAGAAAGAAAGAAAGAAAGAAAGAAAGAAAGAAAGAAAGAAAGAAAGAAAGAAAGAAAGUGAAAUCGAUAAAGUACAGCAGCUAUCAGCUAUUCUCCAUAUAUUGUUACUUUUACAGUCACUUGAACUGCAAGGAAAUUCUACAGAAACAAUGGGUAGGUGUAAAUACUAGGAUAAAGGUUGGAAAAUAUAGAACUGGAAGAUAGUUAACAUAAUGGAAAACCAGAUGAACUUUAUCUGCCGGUUAUUUCAUCUGCAUUUAUUCUACGUCUUAUUU